GAUGAACGCUGGCGGCGUGCCUAAUACAUGCAAGUCGAGCGAACAGACGAGGAGCUUGCUCCUCUGACGUUAGCGGCGGACGGGUGAGUAACACGUGGAUAACCUACCUAUAAGACUGGGAUAACUUCGGGAAACCGGAGCUAAUACCGGAUAAUAUAUUGAACCGCAUGGUUCAAUAGUGAAAGACGGUUUUGCUGUCACUUAUAGAUGGAUCCGCGCCGCAUUAGCUAGUUGGUAAGGUAACGGCUUACCAAGGCAACGAUGCGUAGCCGACCUGAGAGGGUGGUCGGCCACACUGGAACUGAGACACGGUCCAGACUCCUACGGGAGGCAGCAGUAGGGAAUCUUCCGCAAUGGGCGAAAGCCUGACGGAGCAACGCCGCGUGAGUGAUGAAGGUCUUCGGAUCGUAAAACUCUGUUAUUAGGGAAAAACAAAUGUGUAAGUAACUAUGCACGUCUUGACGGUACCUAAUCAGAAAGCCACGGCUAACUACGUG
rnacentral:rRNA from 1 species